GACGAACGUUGGCGGCGUGCCUAACACAUGCAAGUUGAGCGUGGCUCUAGUUUACUAGAGUCUAGCAGCGGACGGCUGAGUAAUGAACAGGAACGUACCUCGAGGUGGGGGAUAGCUCCGGGAAACCGGAGGUAAUACCGCAUAUUGUCGCAAGACAAAAGCCGCAAGGCGCCACGAGAGCGGCCUGUUUCCUAUCAGGUAGUUGGUGGGGUAAUGGCCUACCAAGCCUCUGACGGGUAGCUGGUCUGAGAGGAUGACCAGCCAGAUCGGGACUGAG
rnacentral:rRNA from 1 species